CCUACGGGGGGCAGCAGUGGGGAAUAUUGGACAAUGGGGGGAACCCUGAUCCAGCCAUGCCGCGUGUGUGAAGAAGGGCCUCGGGUUGUAAAGCACUUUCAGUGAGGAAGAACGCCUGGUGGUUAAUACCCAUCAGGAAAGACAUCACUCACAGAAGAAGCACCGGCUAACUCCGUGCCAGCAGCCGCGGUAAUACGGAGGGUGCGAGCGUUAAUCGGAAUUACUGGGCGUAAAGCGCGCGUAGGUGGCUUGAUAAGCCGGUUGUGAAAGCCCCGGGCUCAACCUGGGAACGGCAUCCGGAACUGUCAAGCUAGAGUGCAGGAGAGGAAGGUAGAAUUCCCGGUGUAGCGGUGAAAUGCGUAGAGAUCGGGAGGAAUACCAGUGGCGAAGGCGGCCUUCUGGACUGACACUGACACUGAGGUGCGAAAGCGUGGGUAGCAAACAGGAUUAGAUACCCGAGUAGUC
rnacentral:rRNA from 1 species